rnacentral:rRNA from 1 species
UACGGGGGGGGUAAGCGUUGUUCGGAAUUACUGGGCGUAAAGGGCGCGUAGGCGGCCUGCUAAGUCGAACGUGAAAUCCCCGGGCUCAACCCGGGAACUGCGUCCGAGACUGACAGGCUCGAAUCCGGGAGAGGGAUGUGGAAUUCCAGGUGUAGCGGUGAAAUGCGUAGAUAUCUGGAGGAACGCCGGUGGCGAAAGCGCACGGCUGGACCCUUUUUGACGCUGAGGCGCGAAAGCUAGGGGAGCGAACAGG